rnacentral:rRNA from 1 species
AGCAGCCGCGGUAAUUCCAGCUCCAAUAGCGUAUAUUAAAGUUGUUGCAGUUAAAAAGCUCGUAGUUGAAUUUCGGGAUCAAUUAAUCGGUCGUGCCUCUGGUACGCACUGGUUUUAUUGGUUUCUCCCUUCUGACGAACCAGGAUGUCAUUAAUUUGGUGUCUUGGAGAAUCAGGACUGUUACUUUGAAAAAAUUAGAGUGUUUAAAGCAGGCUAACGCUUGAAUACAUUAGCAUGGAAUAAUGAAAUAGGACGUUUGAUCCUAUUUUGUUGGUUUCUAGGAUCGACGUAAUGAUUAAUAGGGAUAGUUGGGGGCAUUAGUAUUCAAUUGUCAGAGGUGAAAUUCUUGGAUUUAUUGAAGACUAACUACUGCGAAAGCAUUUGCCAAGGAUGUUUUCAUUAAUCAAGAACGAAAGUUAGGGGAUCGAAGACGAUCAGAUACCGUCGUAGUCUUAACCAUAAACUAUGCCGACUAGGGAUCGGAUGAUGUAAUUUUU